rnacentral:rRNA from 2 species
GGAUGAACGCUGGCGGCGUGCUUAACACAUGCAAGUCGAACGAUGAAGCCAGCUUGCUGGUGGAUUAGUGGCGAACGGGUGAGUAACACGUGAGUAACCUGCCCUUAACUCUGGGAUAAGCCUGGGAAACUGGGUCUAAUACCGGAUAUGACUCCUCAUCGCAUGGUGGGGGGUGGAAAGCUUUAUUGUGGUUUUGGAUGGACUCGCGGCCUAUCAGCUUGUUGGUGAGGUAAUGGCUCACCAAGGCGACGACGGGUAGCCGGCCUGAGAGGGUGACCGGCCACACUGGGACUGAGACACGGCCCAGACUCCUACGGGAGGCAGCAGUGGGGAAUAUUGCACAAUGGGCGCAAGCCUGAUGCAGCGACGCCGCGUGAGGGAUGACGGCCUUCGGGUUGUAAACCUCUUUCAGUAGGGAAGAAGCGAAAGUGACGGUACCUGCAGAAGAAGCGCCGGCUAACUACGUGCCAGCAGCCGCGGUAAUACGUAGGGCGCAAGCGUUAUCCGGAAUUAUUGGGCGUAAAGAGCUCGUAGGCGGUUUGUCGCGUCUGCCGUGAAAGUCCGGGGCUCAACUCCGGAUCUGCGGUGGGUACGGGCAGACUAGAGUGAUGUAGGGGAGACUGGAAUUCCUGGUGUAGCGGUGAAAUGCGCAGAUAUCAGGAGGAACACCGAUGGCGAAGGCAGGUCUCUGGGCAUUAACUGACGCUGAGGAGCGAAAGCAUGGGGAGCGAACAGGAUUAGAUACCCUGGUAGUCCAUGCCGUAAACGUUGGGCACUAGGUGUGGGGGACAUUCCACGUUUUCCGCGCCGUAGCUAACGCAUUAAGUGCCCCGCC